AUUGAACGCUGGCGGCAGGCCUAACACAUGCAAGUCGAACGAGAGGCGGACGGGCGGGCAAUGUAUGGGAAACUGCCUGAGGGAGGGGGCUAACUACUGGACACGGUAGACAAUACAGCAUACCAUGCGAUCUGUCCAGAUGGGUUUAGCUAGUUGGUGGGGUAAAGGACCAACAUGGCGACGAUCCCUAGCUGGUCUGCGAGGAGGACCAGCCAGACUGGAACUGAGACACGGUCCAGACUCCUACGGGAUGCAGCAGUAGGGAAUAUUACACUAGGGGCGCAAGCCUUAUCCAGCCAUGCCGCGUGUAUGAAGAAGGCCUUCGGGUUGUAAAGUACUUUCGGCGGGGAGGCGUUACCCGCAGAAGAAGCCCCGGCUAACUCCGUGCCAGCAGCCGCGGGAAUAC
rnacentral:rRNA from 1 species